CAGUCCUACGGGGGAGCAGCAGUGGGGAAUAUUGCACAAUGGGCGCAAGCCUGAUGCAGCGACGCCGCGUGAGGGAUGACGGCCUUCGGGUUGUAAACCUCUUUCACCCAUGACGAAGCGCAAGUGACGGUAGUGGGAGAAGAAGCACCGGCCAACUACGUGCCAGCAGCCGCGGUAAUACGUAGGGUGCGAGCGUUGUCCGGAAUUACUGGGCGUAAAGAGCUCGUAGGCGGUUUGUCGCGUCGUCUGUGAAAUCCCGCAGCUCAACUGCGGGCUUGCAGGCGAUACGGGCAGACUCGAGUACUGCAGGGGAGACUGGAAUUCCUGGUGUAGCGGUGAAAUGCGCAGAUAUCAGGAGGAACACCGGUGGCGAAGGCGGGUCUCUGGGCAGUAACUGACGCUGAGGAGCGAAAGCGUGGGUAGCGAACAGGAUUAGAUACCCUGGUAGUCCACGCCGUAAACGGUGGGCGCUAGGUGUGGGUUUCCUUCCACGGGAUCCGUGCCGUAGCCAACGCAUUAAGCGCCCCGCCUGGGAGACGCCC
rnacentral:rRNA from 1 species